AGAGGGACGAUAAGACCCUAUAGAUCUUUAUUUUUUUCCAUUUUUUUUUAUUUUAGUUUAUUUUAGAUUUUUUUUGGUUAUAAAUUUUGCUGGGGUGGUAGAUAAAAUUUUAAUCUUUAUUUUUUUUUUACAUUUCUUUAUGUGAUUUUGAUCCUUUUUUUUGAUUAUAAGAUUAAGAUACCUUAGGGAUAACAGCGUGAUAAUUCUGGAGAGUUCAUAUUGAUAGAGUUGUUUGCGACCUCGAUGUUGGAUUAAAAAUUUCUGUGAGGCAGGUUUUACAGUUUAGGGUCUGUUCGACCUUUAAAAUUUUACAUGAUCUGAGUUCAAGCCGGCGUGAGCCAGGUUGGUUUCUAUCUUCUUUAAUUUAAUUCUAAUUGGUACGAAAGGAUUUUUAGAA
rnacentral:rRNA from 1 species